CCCAGACUCCUACGGGAGGCAGCAGUGGGGAAUAUUGCACAAUGGGGGAAACCCUGAUGCAGCGACGCCGCGUGAGCGAAGAAGUAUUUCGGUAUGUAAAGCUCUAUCAGCAGGGAAGAAAAUGACGGUACCUGACUAAGAAGCUCCGGCUAAAUACGUGCCAGCAGCCGCGGUAAUACGUAUGGAGCAAGCGUUAUCCGGAUUUACUGGGUGUAAAGGGAGCGCAGGCGGCUUUGCAAGUCUGAUGUGAAAGGCCAGGGCUCAACCCUGGGACUGCAUUGGAAACUGGCAGUCUCGAGUUGGAGAGAAGUAUGCGGAAUGCGCGGUGUAGCGGUGAAAUGCAUAGAUAUCGCGCAGAACUCCGAUUGCGAAGGCAGCAUGCCGGCUCCACACUGACGCUGAGGCACGAAAGCGUGGGUAUCGAACAGGAUUAGAUACCCGGGUA
rnacentral:rRNA from 1 species